AGAGAUGUAGCUCAGUGGUAGAGUAUUGUCCUAUCAAGUGUGAGGCCCUGGGUUUGAUUUCCAGCAUCACAA
rfam:Ictidomys tridecemlineatus contig025949, whole genome shotgun sequence.